GGCUCCACGCUUGCCGCCAGCAUGGAGCGAGUGGGGCGGCGCCACCGGAUGGAGGGCUGCCCCGCUGGGGGCCAUUGCUUCCCCCUUUCCUCCUCCUCCUCCUCCUGGCAGGUCAGCGGGGCCGGCCUAGGGCGGGGCACCGGCGCGAAGCCGCGGGCAGCGGGUGUGAGCGGGGCCGGCGGUAGCGUUGUGGCUGGGAGCACUUGUGGCCUCAGGUGCCCUCAGCGGGACAGAGUGGGCACUGCUGGCCCCUGUGCGAGGCACUGUCAUGUCAGACUGGCCAUGGCUCUGGUGCUGGAGCACAGCGAGGGGAGCUCACUCUGCAAGGGAUCAACAAGACAGGCAGCCCAGACUCAGGUUUCUUCUGGACUCCUUGCUGAAAUGGAAAAAAAGAUUGUUUGGCUGAGUGUGAUAAUGACUGCAAGGCUUACUGCUGUGAUGGGACUACUCCCUACUGCUGUUCAUAUUAUGCCUACAUUGGGAAUGUCUUUUUAGGUACAGUGAUAGCUGGAAUUGUUUUCGGCAUAGUAUUUAUAAUGGGAGUGAUUGCUGGGACUGCCAUCUGCAUCUGCAUGUGCAUGAACAGCAACCAUGGGACUCAAGUAGGGGUCAUCCAAAUGACGCACAUCAACACCAUCAACAUGUACCCAGUGGCUCCACCACCAUACAGUUAUGAUUACGAAAUGGAGUACCCAGCUGAUCUACCUCCACCUUAUACUCCAACCCCAUAGACUGUGGUACAGUAUUCCCCACCUCCUCCGUAUCCUGGAUAUUCAAGGAAACAAUUAACAUGGCUUCACACGGAUAUUGAAACAGCCAGCACUGUUUGGGACAGUGCUAUUUCCUCAGGGACAAAUAGGAUUGGGUUUUGCAUCAACACAUGUGGCCAGGUGUUGAAAUAAACUGGAAAGGUUGCCAAGGCUGAAGAUGAAUAAAAAUACUGUCUACUCUGGACCAUCAUGUUUCAUGAUUAAACAACAUGUGACCAAAGAAACAGCUCCUAUAAGUUAGUGUCUAAUGAGUAUCUUAGCUUCAUCUGCAGCACAUGAGAGUGGGGCUUUUACCAUGUAGAAAUGUGCAAGUGGUGCAAAUGGUUCAACAAACUGUUUCAAAAGCACAAGAAGCAGCUGUCGGGGCUUAUUCUAGGGGAAAGUGUCAACUUGAGAUAACCACUGUGCCUUUCCUUGAAACGAGGGGAAUGAGCAAGAACAAGGAAGAUUGAAACUGUUUUCCAUUUCUACUUUCCAGCUAAUAAUGCCCAAUGAUCACUGUGCAUAUUGGUCUGAUGAGCAUGUUACAAGGAGAAGGGCUGUUAGAAUUUUCUAGUAAUUAAAAAAU